rnacentral:rRNA from 1 species
CCUACGGGGGGCAGCAGUGAGGAAUAUUGGUCAAUGGGCGCGAGCCUGAACCAGCCAAGUCGCGUGAGGGAUGACGGCCCUACGGGUUGUAAACCUCUUUUGCCGGGGAGCAACGGGCGCCACGUGUGGCGCCACUGAGAGUACCCGGAGAAAAAGCAUCGGCUAACUCCGUGCCAGCAGCCGCGGUAAUACGGAGGAUGCGAGCGUUAUCCGGAUUUAUUGGGUUUAAAGGGUGCGUAGGCGGAUCGUUAAGUCAGUGGUCAAAUUGAGGGGCUCAACCCCUUCCCGCCAUUGAAACUGGCGCU